GUGGGGAAUUUUGGACAAUGGGCGCAAGCCUGAUCCAGCAAUGCCGCGUGCAGGAAGAAGGCCUUCGGGUUGUAAACUGCUUUUGUACGGAACGAAAAGACUCCUUCUAAUAAAGGGGGUCCAUGACGGUACCGUAAGAAUAAGCACCGGCUAACUACGUGCCAGCAGCCGCGGUAAUACGUAGGGUGCAAGCGUUAAUCGGAAUUACUGGGCGUAAAGCGUGCGCAGGCGGUUAUAUAAGACAGAUGUGAAAUCCCCGGGCUCAACCUGGGAACUGCAUUUGUGACUGUAUAGCUAGAGGACGGUAGAGGGGGAUGGAAUUCCGCGUGUAGCAGUGAAAUGCGUAGAUAUGCGGAGGAACACCGAUGGCGAAGGCAAUCCCCUGGACCUGUACUGACGCUCAUGCACGAAAGCGUGGGGAGCAAACAGGAUUAGAAACCCGGGUAGUCC
rnacentral:rRNA from 1 species